rnacentral:hammerhead_ribozyme from 1 species
AUCCGACUGACGAGUCCCAAAUGGAACGAAACGCUCGUCGUGGAU